AAUAGAUACCCUGGUAGUCCACGCCGUAAACGAUGAGUGCUAAGUGUUAGGGGGUUUCCGCCCCUUAGUGCUGCAGCUAACGCAUUAAGCACUCCGCCUGGGGAGUACGGUCGCAAGACUGAAACUCAAGGGAAUUGACGGGGGCCCGCACAAGCGGUGGAGCAUGUGGUUUAAUUCGAAGCAACGCGAAGAACCUUACCAGGUCUUGACAUCCCGCUGACCGCUAUGGAGACAUAGCUUUCCCUUCGGGGACAGCGGUGACAGGUGGUGCAUGGUUGUCGUCAGCUCGUGUCGUGAGAUGUUGGGUUAAGUCCCGCAACGAGCGCAACCCUUGUCCUUAGUUGCCAUCAUUCAGUUGGGCACUCUAAGGAGACUGCCGUACAAAUACGGAGGAAGGUGGGGAUGACGUCAAAUCAUCAUGCCCCUUAUGACCUGGGCUACACACGUGCUACAAUGGACGGUACAAACGGUUGCGAAGUCGCGAGGCGGAGCCAAUCCGAGAAAGCCGUUCUCAGUUCGGAUUGCAGG
rnacentral:rRNA from 1 species